GCCGAAUGCUGGCGGCGUGCUUAACACAUGCAAGUCGAACGGAAAGGCCCUGCUUUUGUGGGCUGCUCGAGUAGCGAAAGGGUGAGUAACACGUGAGUAAACUGCCCUUGACUUUGGGAUAACUUCAGGAAACUGGGGCUAAUACCGGAUAGGCAUGCCUGCUGCAGGGUGGGGGUUGGAAAGUUUAGGCGGUUGGGUGUGGACUCGCGUCUUCUCAGCUUGUUGGUGGGGUAGUGGCUUACCACGGCUUUGACGGGUAGCCGGCCGGAGAGGGUGACCGGCCACAUUGGGACUGAGAUACGGCCCAAACUCCUACGGGAGGCAGCAGUGGGGAAUAUUGCACAAUGGGCGGAAGCCUGAUGCAGCAACGCCGCGUGCGGGAUGACGGCCUUCGGGUUGUAACCCGCUUUCGCCUGUGACGAAGCGUGAGUGACGGUAAUGGGUAAAGAAGCACCGGCUAACUACGUG
rnacentral:rRNA from 1 species